rnacentral:piRNA from 1 species
UUCACAUUGAAAUUGCUUUCCUUGAGAUGG